AGUGUCGACGUUUCAGCCCACUAGGGACUUUUUUUUCCCCAAGUCUUGAAAAAAAGUCCCUAGUGGACUGAAACGUCGACACU